rnacentral:rRNA from 1 species
GAUGAACGCUGGCGGCGUGCCUAAUACAUGCAAGUCGAGCGAACAGACGAGGAGCUUGCUCCUCUGACGUUAGCGGCGGACGGGUGAGUAACACGUGGAUAACCUACCUAUAAGACUGGGAUAACUUCGGGAAACCGGAGCUAAUACCGGAUAAUAUAUUGAACCGCAUGGUUCAAUAGUGAAAGACGGUUUUGCUGUCACUUAUAGAUGGAUCCGCGCCGCAUUAGCUAGUUGGUAAGGUAACGGCUACCAAGGCAACGAUGCGUAGCCGACCUGAGAGGGUGAUCGGCCACACUGGAACUGAGACACGGUCCAGACUCCUACGGGAGGCAGCAGUAGGGAAUCUUCCGCAAAGGGCGAAAGCUUGACGGAGCAACGCCGCGUGAGUGAUGAAGGUCUUCGGAUCGUAAAACUCUGUUAUUAGGGAAGAACAAAUGUGUAAGUAACUAUGCACGUCUUGACGGUACCUAAUCAGAAAGCCACGGCUAACUACGUG